rnacentral:rRNA from 1 species
UACGUAGGGGGCUAGCGUUGUCCGGAAUCAUUGGGCGUAAAGAGCGUGUAGGCGGCUCGGUAAGUCCGCUGUGAAAGUCGGGGGCUCAACCCUCGAAUGCCGGUGGAUACUGUCGAGCUAGAGUGCGGAAGAGGCGAGUGGAAUUCCUGGUGUAGCGGUGAAAUGCGCAGAUAUCAGGAGGAACACCGAUUGCGAAGGCAGCUCGCUGGGACGUUACUGACGCUGAGACGCGAAAGCGUGGGGAGCAAGCGGG